UAAGAUAGCAUCAUCGUCUCCCCCUGUUGUCCAUGCUGCAUUUGUCCAAGUGCAGCAUUUGGGAACUGGAGCAAGGCACUGACUUCUUCAGUUAUUUUGUAAGCUAACAAGAGGUAGACGGACACCUUCUGAAGUUUUACACAUGCUGUGUUUUCUCCCAUUGCUGCAACAAGAAAAGCCAUUCCUUUUAACCUGGCUCCCUUUGAAGAAGUGACUCAGACAUCUCCAUGGCCUCUCAAGAUGGUCAGUAUCGGAAAAGCCGAGGCCUUCCUGGUUUUCUCCCAGGUUAUCCUGACCCUGACCAUAGUCGUUCCACCGUGCCUUCGAAUUCAAGGAAGCAAGUAUUACUACCGCCUCUCCCAAUACCAGUCAAUCUCCCUCCUGGUCUAGAAUACUUGAGCCAGUUAGACCUGAUCAUUAUACACCAGCAGGUGGAGCUGCUCGAAAUGAUACUUGGCACUGAAACUUCCAACAAAUAUGAGAUUAAAAACCGCUUGGGACAAAGAGUAUACUUUGCAGUAGAGGAAAGCAUCUGCUUUAACCGUAAUUUCUGUUCACCAUUAAGAUCCUGCACUCUGAGGGUCACUGAUAACACUGGUAGAGAGGUGAUUACAGUGCACAGACCACUGAGAUGUACCAGCUGCUGGUGCCCUUGCUACCUACAAGAGUUGGAAAUUCAAGCCCCUCCUGGUACAGUAGUUGGUUAUGUUGUACAGAAAUGGGACCCUUUUCUGCCAAAGUUCACAAUUCAAAAUGAAAGCAAAGAAGACAUUUUGAAAAUUGUGGGUCCCUAUGCAACAUGUGGCUGUUUUGGAGAUGUUGACUUUGAGGUGAAAACAAUUAAUGAAAAGAUAACUAUUGGGAAGAUUUCAAAGUAUUGGUCAGGAUUUGUAAAUGACGUCUUCACAAAUGCUGACAAUUUUGGAAUACACGUUCCUGCAGAUCUCGAUGUGAAAAUCAAAGCAGCCAUGAUUGGGGCCUGUUUUCUCUUUGACUUUAUGUUCUUUGAACAUUCACUGGCUGGGCUGUAACAAGCAAGAUGAUAGAAACAAUAAAAUAUGCAGACCAUAUUUCAGUAAGUAAAAAAAAUCCCUUGGGCUCAGCAUUUCAUUUCUGAAAUGCCUGGAUAUCAG